GGGAUGCGUGCGUGCCUGAUAUAUUGGGACGGAGGGAGUACAUUCUAGUAUCCAGACUAGGGACAAUUGUACCAAAAAUACAGAAAUGUCUCUAAAGAAAAGAGAAAUCAAAACCAAAUUCGUGGAAGAAAUUUCUCCAGCGGACCAACACGAGGUCUGUUUGGAUGAUGACCAAAACCAACAAUGCAAAAUAUUGUCAUGACAAAAAAAAACUCUACAUGGUAUAAGAGCAAAAUGAGGUACAUUGUGGAACAAAUAAGAAAAAUCUAUAUGAGUUGUAUUGUGGAAUGGAGAGAGUAGGCAAUAUUUUGACAUGCCUAGUACUCCCUAACCAACACUCGUUCAUUCUUGGUUACCCAGAAAAAAAAUCGCGCAAAAAAAACCCCAUAAUCAAAAGAUUGAUUAGCCAAAUUUUCACACAACUGACUUAGACAGUUACACUCGAAUCAAACACAUCCCAGAUGCACCACCGCCGGAAGACCCCGAGUGUUACCACGAUCAAGCCCGCCCUGUUUGGUCUUUGUCGUGAUUCGCCGCAUUCACCACGCCACGCCCACUAGUCGCCGCAUCCAAACUCAAACUAAUCCAGCCA
rnacentral:lncRNA from 1 species